rnacentral:tRNA from 1 species
GGCACCGUAGCGUAAUGGCUAACGCAUUGCUUUCCGGUUCUUCCAAAGAAGAUAAACUGCCUGGCAAAGAUUGUGGGUUCGAGUCCCGUCGGUGUCG